UCAAGCCUCGCCCAAGGGCUAAACUGCUGGUA
rnacentral:piRNA from 1 species